rnacentral:rRNA from 1 species
AGUGAACGCUGGCGGUAGGCCUAACACAUGCAAGUCGAACGGCAGCACAGGAGAGCUUGCUCUCUGGGUGGCGAGUGGCGGACGGGUGAGGAAUACAUCGGAAUCUACUCUGUCGUGGGGGAUAACGUAGGGAAACUUACGCUAAUACCGCAUACGACCUACGGGUGAAAGCAGGGGACCUUCGGGCCUUGCGCGAUUGAAUGAGCCGAUGUCGGAUUAGCUAGUUGGCGGGGUAAAGGCCCACCAAGGCGACGAUCCGUAGCUGGUCUGAAAGGAGGAGCAGCCAAACUGGAACGUGGACACGGGCCAGACUCCUACGGGAGGCAGCAGUGGGGAAUAUUGGACAAUGGGCGCAAGCCUGAUCCAGCCAUACCGUGUGGGUGAAGAAGGCCUUCGGGUUGUAAAGCCCUUUUGUUGGGAAAGAAAUCCAGCUGGCUAAUACCCGGUUGGGAUGACGGUACCCAAAGAAUAAGCACCGGCUAACUUCGUGCCAGCAGCCGCCGUAA